rnacentral:rRNA from 1 species
CCUGGUGGUUAUUGCGGGGCGGCUGCACCCGUUCCCAUUCCGAACACGGCCGUGAAACGCCCCAGCGCCA